rnacentral:lncRNA from 1 species
AGGCUCCUAAAGGCAUUGGCACUUUCACUGAACAAUCCAACUGCUAUGAUGUUCAAACGGGCAGCAAUGGAGAUUGGGGCCAUUACUUCUAUUUCGGGGGCCCUGGUAAAAACCCCAAUUGCCCUUAAAAAAAGUGAAAACCCCCUUUUACCCCUCUGUAUCAUUCAACCUAGUGUAACCCCCCCUUCUCUUCUGUAUACCUCCUCCUUUUCACUGUUAGGUCGGGUUAGUAACAUGUGACCUUUAUUAUUAUCGUCUCUAGUGAGAAGUUUUGACCCUUUUUUUUUAGUCUUUUACCUUGAAAGAGUCUACAUGUAAGUUGGUUGGGGAUAUGUGGCCAAGUUUCUCCAAGCUUAAAGAAACAAAGGCCUUUGUUUAC